rnacentral:rRNA from 1 species
UGCUGAAAGCAUCUAAGCAUGAAGCCCCCCUCAAGAUGAGAUUUCCCAACUUCGGUUAUAAGAUCCCUCAAAGAUGAUGAGGUUAAUAGGUUCGAGGUGGAAGCGUAGCGAUACGUGGAGCUGACGAAUACUAAUCGAUCGAAGACUUAAUCAAUUU